rnacentral:rRNA from 1 species
AUUGAACGCUGGCGGCAUGCUUUACACAUGCAAGUCGAACGGUAACAGGCCUUCGGGUGCUGACGAGUGGCGGACGGGUGGGUAAUGCAUCGGAACGUACCCAGAGGUGGGGGAUAACGCAGCGAAAGCUGUGCUAAUACCGCAUGUGAUCUGAGGAUGAAAGCGGGGGACCGAGCAGCAAUGUUUGGCCUCGCGCCUUUGGAGCGGCCGAUGUCGGAUUAGCUAGUUGGGGGGGUAAAGGCCUACCAAGGCGACGAUCCGUAGCUGGUCUGAGAGGACGGCAGGCCACCUUGGGACUGAGACACGGCCCAGACUACUACGGGAGGCAGCAGUGGGGAAUGUUGGACAGUGGGCGGAAGCCUGAUCCAGCAAUGCCGCGUGCGGGAAGAAGGCCUUCGGGUCGUAAACUGCUUUUGGCAGGAACGAAACGGUGUCCGCUAAUACCGGGCGCUAAUGACGGUACCUGCAGAAUAAGCACCGGCUAACUACGUG